GGCAGUAUAGCUCAGUGGUAGGGUGUAUGCUCAGCAUGCACAAGGUCCUGGGUUCAAUCCCCAGCACCUCUG
rnacentral:tRNA from 1 species